rnacentral:rRNA from 1 species
GAUGAACGCUGGCGGCGUGCCUAAUACAUGCAAGUCGAGCGAACAGACGAGGAGCUUGCUCCUCUGACGUUAGCGGCGGACGGGUGAGUAACACGUGGAUAACCUACCUAUAAGACUGGGAUAACUUCGGGAAACCGGAGCUAAUACCGGAUAAUAUAUUGAACCGCAUGGUUCAAUAGUGAAAGACGGUUUUGCUGUCACUUAUAGAUGGAUCCGCGCCGCAUUAGCUAGUUGGUAAGGUAACGGCUUACCAAGGCAACGACGCGUAGCCGACCUGAGAGCGUCAUCGGCCACACUGGAACUGAGACACGGUCCAGACUCCUACGGGAGGCAGCAGUAGGGAAUCUUCCGCAAUGGGCGAGAGCCUGACGGAGCAACGCCGCGUGAGUGAUGAAGGUCUUCGGAUCGGAAAGCUCUGUUAGUAGGGAAGAACAAAUGUGUAAGUACCUAUGCACGUCUUGACGGUACCUAAUCAGAAAGCCACGGCUAACUACGUG